UGCCAGGGUCAGUGGUAGGGAAGUGCUACGCACUCACCUAGCCAGGACAGGGUAGGAUGUAGGGAUGUAUGGAUCAGGGUCAGAGUGGGACACAGAGUAGGAGGUACUGUUGGUCUGUACAUUUGGAGUUGUUCUUUGAAGUUGCCAGGAUGAGUCAGGUCAAACUGGGAGACUGGGAAGUGUAGGGAGGUGCUGCACACUCACCUCCCGUGCUUCCCAGGUGGGUGGUGGUCUUUGGGGUUGUCAGGGUCAGUCAGUUGGUGUUGUUUUAUUUUUAUUAUUUAUUGUUGAUUGCCAGACUCAGUCAGUUUUAUUGAGGGGGGAGUAGGAGUUUUAUUGUUUUUGUUUUAUUUACUUAUUUUUUCAUUUAUAUUUUUUUUAUUACUUUUAUUAUUUUUUAUACCUAUAUAUAUUUUAUUCUUUUUGGUCUGGCAGUCCUUAGACUUGGGGAGAGAAGGGAAGUGCUGUGCACUCACCUCCCUUGCUCUCCCGAGGUCCGAGGUGGUAAGGAGGUUUUUAUUUAUUUUUAUUUAUUUAUUUAUCUUUAUUUAUUUAUUUAUUUUAUUUAUUUUAUUUUAUUUUUUUUUUUGCGUGGUAGGUUAGGAGACAAGGGAAGUGCUAUGCACUCACCUUAAUUCUUUAUUUAUUUAUUUUUUUCUAUCUUUUGCCUGGUAGGUUGGAAGAGAAGGGAAGUGCUAUGCACUCACCUUUAUAUUUUUAUUUUUUUUUUCCUGUUAGGUGGAGAGAAGAGAAGUGCUAUGCACUUACCUUUAUUUUAUAUAUAUAUAUAUAUAUAUAUAUAU